rnacentral:lncRNA from 1 species
AACAAGAUGCACAUGAGGAAUGGACCAAAGCUAUCUCAACUCCAAAGGAUGGAUCUAGUUGCUGAUAUUACUGACACAGAGAUACUUGACAGUUAGAAGGGUAUUGGAAAUGAUAAAGCUCCAGGGAUUGAUGGAUUUAAUGCAUGUUCUUCAAACAAUCUUGGCAUAUCAUUGGUAACCAUGUUAUACUAGCUGUCAGGAAUUUCUUUCAGACCUCCAAGAUGUACAGGCCUACUAAUUGUGCCACACUCACUUUGCUGCCUAAGGUAUCCAAUCCUCAGACAGUUAAAGAAN